rnacentral:lncRNA from 1 species
CCGUGGUCGCCGUUUGCCGUGGUGUAGUGAUAUGGUGGAAUCGUAGGAUAAACAUUGUAGACUAAGAAGUGUUAACGAAAGUGAUAAACAAGGGGUGUUUGUAUACUUAUAAUUUUGCAGUGCAAGAACUCAGUGAAAUUUUUCAAAAGCACGGUUAAUUACUGUAAGGAAUCGAUAUUAUGUUUGACUGAUUUGCAGUUCAACAUUGUUAUCUCUGAAAAUUUGAUUUAUUAAAAAGGGACCAAUAUAGUGAUCAUCAAACUUGUUAGUUCUUGGUUCCUUGAGUAGGUAGACAUAUUGUCCUACCUUAAAAUUCUUUGUAUUCAGUUUACGGUCAUAGUAUUUUUUACAUCAUCUUUUUGCAGCUUCUAGUCUAGAGAUAACCGUCGAUUGGGUCUCAGAUAACCUGAUCAAUAAAUUGUCAACCAAUUCUAUGUAAGUAAGCGGUACCUUUUCUUUUGCGAAUUCAGAGGGAAGCCUAGCUUUAUUACCAAAGACAACUUCGUAAGGUGUAAAUCCAGUUGACUCAUGAAGUGAAGUAUUGAAAGAAAACAUUGCAAAUGGUAACCAAAGAUCCCAAUUAACCUGUGUACAAUAAUGUUUCAGAUAUUCGAUGAAUGUGUGAUGACUUCUCUCGAGGGAUCCUAACGAUUGUGGAUGGAAAGAGGUUGAUUUGAACUGUCUGAUCUUGAAGAUUUUGGCAAUGUUAAUCAUAAUCGCACUGAGGAACUGGCUACCUUGGUCAGUUUAAAUAGAUUCGGGACAUCCAUAUAAGCAAAUGAAAGCUUCUGCGAAUGCGAUAGCAAUAGUAGGUGCUUCAACAUUGGACAAAGAGAUGCCUCCCGAAUAUUUCGAUAAACAAUCCUGCCAGAUGGAGUUCUGACUGUUCCGGCACAAACAGUUAUCUGAUAAUCUUCCUUUCCAAAGAACACACGUUCUACCAAAAGGUCGUCUUCAGGGAGUUCGGAUUCUGCAGCGGGUAACGGAUCAUGCACGAUCAGCACCCGAUGAUCAGUUUCCUCAGGAUGUUCAGUGGAAUCUACAGGACUUCUUGAAAGUGCAUCAGCAUUUGCAUUUAAAGAACCAGGCUUGUAAUCAAACUCAUAAUCGUACUCACUGAGCCAUAUUUUCCAACGAGCAAGCCUUGAAGCAGGGUCUUUGAGAUUAUGAAGCCAGGUUAAUGAACGAUGAUCAGUAAUCAAGUGGUGGAAUAGUUCAUCUCUGCGGCAUUUAAGGUACGGGAUGCAUAUGCAAUCGAGAGAUCUUUACCUACAGGUCCUUGGCUCAAUACAGCGCCCAAGGCAUAUCCGGAUGCGUCUGUUGUGAUAACAAAUGGUCGAGUAAAGUCAGGGUACUACAAUAAUGGUUGAGAGCAUAGAAUCUUCUUUAUUUCGUUAAACGAAUUUUCUUGUGCCUCCCUCCACUGGAAUUCAGUCAUCUUGUUCAGCAAUAUUGUUAAAGGAUUGUGGCAAAAUUUGGAAUAAAUCGUCUGUAAUAACCGGCUAACCCCAAAA